AACGCGAAGAACCUUACCAGCCCUUGACAUCCCGGUCGCGGGAACGAGAGAUCGAUCCCUUCAGUUCGGCUGGACCGGAGACAGGUGCUGCAUGGCUGUCGUCAGCUCGUGCCGUGAGGUGUUUGGUUAAGUCCAGCAACGAGCGCAACCCUUAUCAUUAGUUGCCAACACGCGAGGUGGGGACUCUAAUGAGACUGCCUGGGUUAACCAGGAGGAAGGUGAGGAUGACGUCAAGUCCGCAUGGCCUUUAUGUCUGGGGCUACACACGUGCUACAAUGGUCGGUACAGAAGGCAGCAAGACCGCAAGGUGGAGCAAAUCCCUAAAGCCGAUCCCAGUUCAGAUUGUCGUCUGCAACUCGACGACAUGAAGUUGGAAUUGCUAGUAAUGACGUGUCAGCUACAACGUCGUGAAUACGUUCCCGGGCCUUGUACACACCGAGUAUA
rnacentral:rRNA from 1 species